rnacentral:rRNA from 1 species
AACAGCGGCGUCAGCAAAUUGAAUACGCCAGUUCCCAAUGGAUCACUGAAGUUAAGCAACGUUGCGCGUGUUUGUAUCUGGAUGGGUGACCAUCUGCAUCUGCCAUCUGGGUAAUCGUGUGCUAUAUGUA